GAUGAAGAACGCAGCGAAAUGCGAUACGUAAUGUGAAUUGCAGAAUUCAGUGAAUCAUCGAAUCUUUGAACGCACAUUGCGCUCUCUGGUAUUCCGGAGAGCAUGCUUGUUUGAGUAUCAGUAAACACCUCAACUCCUUUAUUGUAGUUGGACUUGAGCUAUCCCAACAGGACUUUUUGUUCCUGGCGGGAGGCUUGAAAUGCAGGUGCAGCUGGACUUUCUUCUGAGCUAUAAGCAUAUUUAUUUAAUCCCUUAACACGGAUUAUUACUUUUUUGCUGCAGCUAACAUAAAGGUUGAAUUUCCAUUGAGCUGACUGAUGCAGGAAUUUGGCAAGGAAUUUUUUUAAUGACUUGUUAAACUCGAUCUCAAAUCAAGUAAGACUACCCGCUGAACUUAAGCAUAUCAUAAGCGGAGGA
rnacentral:misc_RNA from 1 species